UACGGGGGGGGUAAGCGUUGUUCGGAAUUACUGGGCGUAAAGGGCUCGUAGGCGGCCAACUAAGUCAUACGUGAAAUCCCUCAGCUUAACUGGGGAACUGCGUGUGAUACUGGAUGGCUUGGAUUUGGGAGAGGGAUGCGGAAUUCCUGGUGUAGCGGUGAAAUGCGCAGAUAUCGGGAGGAACACCAGUAGCGAAGGCGGCUCGCUGGGCCACACCUGACGCUGAGACGCGAAAGCGUGGGGAGCGAACAGG
rnacentral:rRNA from 1 species